rnacentral:rRNA from 1 species
AGUGAACGCUGGCGGUAGGCCUAACACAUGCAAGUCGAACGGCAGCACAGGAGAGCUUGCUCUCUGGGUGGCGAGUGGCGGACGGGUGAGGAAUACAUCGGAAUCUACUUUUUCGUGGGGGAUAACGUAGGGAAACUUACGCUAAUACCGCAUACGACCUACGGGUGAAAGCAGGGGAUCUUCGGGCCUUGCGCGAUUGAAUGAGCCGACGUCGGAUUAGCUAGUUGGCGGGGUAAAGGCCCACCAAGGCGACGAUCCGUAGCUGGUCUGAGAGGAUGAUAAGCCACACUGGAACUGAGACACGGUCCGGACUCCUACGGGAGGCAGCAGUGGGGAAUAUUGGACAAUGGGCGCAAGCCUGAUCCAGCCAUACCGCGUGGGUGAAGAAGGCCUUCGGGUUGUAAAGCCCUUUUGUUGGGAAAGAAAUCCAGCUGGCUAAUACCCGGUUGGGAUGACGGUACCCAAAGAAUAAGCACCGGCUAACUUCGUGCCAGCCGCCGCCGUAA